UACGUAGGGUGCAGGCGUUAAUCGGAAUUACUGGGCGUAAAGGGCGCGUAGGCUGUGCUGUAAGUCAGGCGUGAAAGCCCCGGGCUCAACCUGGGAAUUGCGCUUGAUACUGCGGCGCUGGAAGGUGGGAGAGGAUGGCGGAAUUCCCAGGUGUAGAGGUGAAAUUCGUAGGAUAUUGGGAAGAACACCGGUGGCGAAGGCGGCGACUCUGGCCC
rnacentral:rRNA from 1 species